rnacentral:tRNA from 1 species
UAGAAUGUGGUGUAUUUGGUAGCACGAAGAUUUUUGGAGUCUUAAGAUUGGGUUCGAGACCUAAGGUUCUAG